rnacentral:rRNA from 1 species
CUACGGGUUGCUGCAGUGGGGAAUAUUGCACAAUGGAGGAAACUCUGAUGCAGCAACGCCGCGUGGAGGAUGACACUUUUCGGAGCGUAAACUCCUUUUAUAUAGGAAGAAGAUGACGGUACUAUAUGAAUAAGCGCCGGCUAACUCCGUGCCAGCAGCCGCGGUAAUACGGAGGGCGCAAGCGUUACUCGGAAUCACUGGGCGUAAAGAGCGUGUAGGCGGAUUAAAAAGUCAGAAGUGAAAUCCUAUAGCUUAACUAUAGAACUGCUUCUGAAACUCUUAAUCUAGAAUAUGGGAGAGGUAGAUGGAAUUGCUGGUGUAGGGGUAAAAUCCGUAGAGAUCAGAAGGAAUACCGAUUGCGAAGGCGAUCUACUAGAACAUUAUUGACGCUGAGACGCGAAAGCGUGGGGAGCAAAUAGGAUUAGAUACCCCGGUAGUC